CCCUUCCGUCCUCCCGGGCUGCGUCUUCCCCGACGGUUCCCUCCGUGGAAACUUCAGCCUCUCCGGGCUUCUCUUUGCUAGUGCAUUAUCGAAGGUGUGAAAGUGGCUUUGGGAAUCUCACCUUCCUGCGGUCGCUGCGGGGCUUGGAGGAGCGAACUGCAAAACAACUUUUAUUUGACCCACAUGCCGCCCCUCAGAUUUUAUCUUCCAUCACUCGCCUGCAUCGAAAGGUUUUUCAGUUUAAGAGCUGAUUAGCUCACUCAUGUGUUUGCUGUUGGUAGCGGGGAAGGAGGAGCUGGGCGAAACACUUAAAAAUACACGCACACAAACUCUGGCAGCCGAUAAGGUGCUGGUUGUAAUCUACAAGCUCUUUGUGCUUUCCUACAAAGUUCCUAACGUGUCUGUGAUUACUGGCAUAUAUAUAUUUUUUUCUUUUUUGGAAGGGUGGUGGCAUUAGUUAUGAUGUAAGGAUUAUCUGUUGGAUGUGUAGAGGAGACAGUUUUGGGUAUGCAAUUGAAGUGUAUAGUGUUUUUUUCUUUUUUCUUUUUCCCCGUCUCCCUUUUUUCUCUACUUAAUAUAGUCAUAUGCAUCAGAGCAGUACUUCACUGGAAAUAGUCAAUGCCCAACUCAAGAUUUUCAUGGUAAUUUUCUAAAGACCUGUUUGUGGAGUGUGCUCACUUUUUCCUUCCAUUUUUAAGUACACUUAACAGUUCAGUUGAGCUGUUAAAGCAUCUCAAGUUUCUUUUUUGUUAGGUGUCAAAGGUAGUGGUGAGCUAGUGGAUGCUCUAGGCUUCCCUUAAUGUUUUCUGUUUUGGUUUGGUUUUGUUUAUGUCUGGGGAUACAGUGCAUGAUCUAGUUGAGUCCUGGGGGAGAAAAGGAAGAUUAGCCAAAACAGGGACUUAAAGCUCAUAAGGGAGAGUGGAGUAGCUAAUAUAAUUAGAUACCAGGCUAGAGCUACAGAUGCUGCUCCUGCUGCAGUAUUGUGGAGACAACUGAUCAUACUGAGUGGAAAACUCUCUGCGUGGAAGGGAAACACUGUGGAGCUCGUACGGUUAUGUGCCUCUACAGGUCAAGGCUCCUGCUGCCGCCGCCGCCGCUGCUGCUGCAGACACUGACAUCACUAUACUGCAUGAAUGAAAAACAACAUCGUGCUCCAUUUCUUGCUCUCCACCUCCUUCCUUUUUUGCACACUCCUCUGUGUGUGUGUGUGUGUGUGUGUGUGUGUAUUUACGAUGGUGUUAUGCUGCAUAUGAAACUACAUUUAAAAAUGUUAAAUUAGGUAGAUGGUGGCUCAAGGGAUAUGUAUUUAGUACAGAGGCAUAUUGUUUACAGAAAGCUUCAAGUGCUAUGAGCAUUUGGACUGGAGGUGACAUAACUGAGCAUUCGUUUUUUUUUUUUUUUUUUUUCCUGGACUGGUGGUGAUGGAAGAAAAUACAGAAGCUUCAAAUACUUUUCUUUGUAAUUGUUUUACCAAGAGGAAAUUAUGAAACAACGUAAUUUCUAAACAUGUCAGAUCAUUAUUAUUUCCCUCUUAAACAUUCUUAAUAUGCAUAUUUAGGGUUAGGCUAUAAUAAUAAAGAAAUGAUACUCAGGUUAUUUCAUAAAGCUGAGGAAGAGCUGAAUUCUGUAAUUGGUGCAAUCAGUUUUAAUAUAUUAAUUUAUAAAAUUAAACGAGAUGGCAAUUUUCUUUAUUUUUGUAGCACAGUUUUAGAUAAUUUGAAACGGUAUCAUAAGAUACGUAAGUCUUUUAAUAACCUUGCUCUAUAUAGAGGAUAUGGACUUCUACAAAUUAAAACUAUCUCGUUUAUACAUGUGAAUCAUAUUUUUGUAUUUUUUAAAUUUCUAUUGUAUUUUUAAAACUUCAAGGUUUGUUAUUUAUAUUCAUUUCUCUACUUCUGCCAUUUAGCAAAAUGUCACCCUCCCCCUUGUUUGGUUCUGAAGGGUCUUGAAGUGGUGAAUGACAAGCUGCUGAAUGCAUCCUCAGGCUCCCUGUGAUGUGUUUGUAAUAGAUGUAAAAUCAUAAAGUAUUAUGCAAAUAGUUAUUUUUUUGUAAUGGUAAUACAUAAAGUCUACCUUUGAGAUAAAUAGAACAACUCAAAUGGGAAUAUAGCAGGAUGUUAGUGUUAAAGUUAAUCAUCUGUAAGCUAAAAUCAUGAGUAAUAACCAAAAGAAAAUAAAGUUGCUUCUUUCUGAAACCUCAGAGCAAAACCUGUGGAUUUAGAAACAGAACAAAUACUCACAAUUUUACUGUGCAAGAUAAGAUAGUAAGUAGCAAUUGCAAAUCCUUUUGUGUGUGUGUGUGUGUGUGUGUGUGUGUGUUUAAGAUUGAGCACUAGGAUGAAUUAUAAAUUCUAAAAGAUAUAAAAGGAGUUGCAUUAGAGAACUCUGAAUGGAGAAUACUGCUUAUUUUUAAGUACUAAAUCUAGUUGAAAAAGCAUGGAAGAGCUUGUAAUUUAUAUGGCUCUUUUAUGGAGAAUAGCAUGCAUUGAUCCCUGAUUUAACAGAACAUUUAUUUAGGCCUACUAUGCUAACAGAUUACAAACUCCAGAGUGAAAUUUGAUUAGAAUUUUUUAUGGUUAUCUUGAGAGCUUUAUUGUUUUAUGCUAAGUUGUGAUUACAUUUUAAAAGAAAAUACAAAGCCAGUUAGCAUGUAAUAUUGAAUGACUUCAUACAAUGUGUGUAUGUCUUUGUGUUUUAAUCAAAUUAAUUUGCUUUCAGUGUUUCAAUCUUUUCAUUAAAUUUUCCUUUUUGAGUCUUUUUUU